CUUAGAUUGCCUUGAGAGCUUGCCUCAGCUUUUAUCUAUCUGGAAUGUGCUUUCCUGGGAUAAGAUAAAAUCAGAUUUGUUUUAUUCCAGGUACCAGAUGGUUUCUGCCUAGAAAAAUCAAUGGAACAUAAGUGGAUGGAUUACAGCAUCACUGAUUUUUCUAGUGUUCUAUGAAAAGCAGUACCAUUGGAUGUUAAUGAUCAACUGACUAUCUACCUUCAAUACUUUCUUUUGGAGCUGAAGGGAGCUGCUCAGCGUCACUGUCCCAGUGAGGGCACCAGGAUGAAAGACCCAGCUCUCCUGGGGCUCGGUGGAAAGCCACCACCACAACCGUCUUCUGGUAGCACUUCCACUUACAAAAGGUAACAGGCACCCCUGUGUCACAGGCACAAGUAUGAA